rnacentral:rRNA from 1 species
UACGGAGGUGGCGAGCGUUGUCCGAAGUUACUGGGCGUAAAGCGCGCGUAGGCGGGGGAUUAAGUGAGAAGUGAAAGGCUGGGGCUCAACUCCAUGCAGUGCUUCUCAUACUGGUCUUCUUGGAGGGGGUAGAGAGAAGUGGAAUGGCUGGUGUAGCGGUGAAAUGCGUAGAUAUCAGUCGGAACACCGUGGCGAAGGCGGCUCUUGGCGACUGU